GAGAUGGGGCCGUGUGUCAUGUCUGUGAGGAGCCCUCGAGGCCCACAGGACCUAAGCCCAGAGAAAUGGAAAGCAAAGGAGCCAAGGCCAGAGAGGGGUCGGGCCUUAACGGCCCCAUGGGAUGGAGCCAGCGCCCGGCCGGAGGGCUGUGCACCAGGGGCAGCAGGUGGGGAAACCGAGGCACAGAGGGAUGUGCUCAUUUGACCAAAGCCACAUGAAGGGUUCAGUGCCCAGGACUGCCCAAGGGAGGGUCCCAGGUGGGUGUCUACUCCUGUUCUACGGGAGGGGCAGGCCAGUGGAGUCACCAGGGUGCUGGCUUUGUAUCUGGCACCGUGCCCUAGUUUGUUAUGCCCAGCAUCUCCUGUACCCAAAGAGCGGGGGGCUGUGAUUGGCCCCAUCGUGCAGAAGAGGACACUGAGGCCCCCCCAAAGCUGAAUUAAACCACACGCGCUCCCUCCUGGCCGGGGCUUGACAUUGGCCUGACUGCAUGUUUGCAAAGAAAAUGUAAAAGGUUGCACAAAUAGGUCCCAAGAGGCCCAGGGAGGGAGGCAGGCCCUGGUUCUUCCUCUUGGAGGUGAUGACCACCCCUCUGUGGGUUCCCAGGCAUCUGGGCCCAGGCCUGGCUCCUACUUGCCCUCGUGUAGACAGGAGUUUUCAAAUGGCCAGCAGGGAGUGUGUGAGGCGGGAUCUGUGGGCGACAGGUGCUUGGACUCACCUGAACUCUCUGUACUCCUAGGAUUGGAAGAGUCUCCAAACUGGCAGGCCUCGUGUACCCGUCCCACCUCCUUGCCCUCUUGAGGGGUGGGAAAGGUACAGAGCCAAGAUCUGUAAAAAGAAAAAUCUUCAAAUCUGGCUCUAUAAAAACUACAUGCUUCUGAAUCAAACAGACACGCAGCUGAGGUUAGAUGCGGUGAGACAGCUGGGGAGAAAAACAUUUGUAACACUGUAACAGAGGGAUUCAUAGCCUUCCUAUACAAAGAGUUCCUACAAAUCAAUAAAAAAAAAAAAACCACAAAACAACCAUACAGAAAGCCA